GGAUGGCACAUUUUUAAGGCAACUUCAACUAUUAUUUAUUUACAUUAUUUGGCUCUAAAAUUUUUACACUUACAAUGUUCUAAAAUCUAAAGGUUACACGUCAUAAGUUCUACCAUCAGACCAAGCCACAUCCACGAGAGUACCCGAAAUUAUCAAGUUAAGAUGUAAGCCUUUGUAGGAAGUCACUGAGUUCCUCCAGCUCUGAUCACCACCUAACCAUAGAAUGUUUCCUGAGUUCACCCAGCUCUGAUGGGUAUUGGUCUCACGAAAGGGACUGUUGUGCAUGGUACUUUACCUUCAUAUGCCGUUGUAAACCGUAUGAAACAUCAGGAACGAAAUGAAAUUACUACCUAUGUACACUCAGAGAUCAUCGCGCCACUUUUACAACUGAGAUAAACAUCAACAAACUUAAAAAUGGCUUGUUCGCCUACGAUGAACGCCGCUUCAUGUGAUUUCACCAUCAUAGUUGACGGUACCGAGUUUAAAAGCCAACGGGAAAUCCUGAGUUCAACUUCCGCAUACUUCGACGCCUUGUUUAGAAGCAACAUGAAGGAGGCCAAAGAAGGGAGGGUGGAGCUACAGGGUAUGACAAGUGAGACUUUCGCUGUUGUUUUAAAUUUCAUCCACCAGCGUGUCCAUGGUCUGACGACUGACAACAUUGAUGACAUCUGGGAU